CAGGGAGCUGCCUUCCCCAAAGCAAUUAAUUACAGAAUCGGAGAGGGUUGCUGUUGGAGUGUUUGGCUCCGGUAUCAUUCCUGAUCCAGAGGCCGUCUCACGUGCCGACCAACUCCUGCCAGUCGCCGGGGGCUGCUGUCAUCA
rnacentral:lncRNA from 12 species